GGCUUCAUUUUGGUUUAACAGGUGAGAAGAGAGCAGAGCGCAUUAUGGCCCUGACUGCCCAUCUCUGAAUGGGCCUCCUUCCAGGUCAACAACACAGCUACAUGGGAAAGACAGGCCGGUGGCCACCUGCCCACCUGCUGGGAGGCCUCCUCCCCACCCCCUGCAGGCCAUUCCCUGAAAUGUCACAUGGUCGUACAGUAAGUGGCCUAAACAAUGAAUCACAAAUCGACAGGAUCCAAGAAUCUGAACACUGCCUUGGCAGUGACUGGUAAAUUGCCCUGUUUUCCCGAUUCACAGAAGCAGCUCCAGGAAAGGCGCCGAGAUCAAUGUCCAGGAUGGUAAAAGAAUGCUUCUUAGACAAGGAGCAGCUUGGGAGAGGUGACCACAGGUUUUAUUCGUCUGGGAACCUUCAGGUCACAGUGCCGAGCCCAGUUACAGGACACACACAUUUUUGGGGGAAGGGAGAAAUGGAGAAAUUAAUGACUGCGACUUGGUAGUACCCAUUUUCUUGGCUCCUUGAUUUGUCUCCUGGCUGCCCCUUCCGUCUGCAUGGGAAACUGUCUGUAUCAUGCAAGGGAAAGCUUUUCUUGACUACCCAACUCUUUUCCUAAGUCUUAGUUAAAGCUGAAAAACAUGUCCAAGACAAGGCAGAAUCACAAGUACCACAGUAAGCUUUAAACAAGAAAGCAUUUAAGAAACCCAGUGGGGCAGAUUUCAAAAGGGUUGAUGUGGAGUAAGGCAGGCUUCUUUCUCUUCCAUGAACUCCUGACUCCUAAACAGUCCUCUGCAUCCUGAGGAAAGGUGGACCCAGCCAUCAAUGCAGAGAAAGUGCUCACCAGCUGCCCUCUAACCCCAAGCCAUGUGAUCACAAGGCAGACUACGACCUGGCCUCACAUCCGAUCUGGUUCCUCAGCCACUCCCAGGCAUCUCCUCUGCCCUUGGCCUCAGACCCUUCCCAUCUGUCUGAGAUGUCUCUCUUUUAAACAGCAGCCCAGCCCAAGCUCCUGGACCUCCUAGGAGCUAGUCUUACAGCUCCCCGAAGAUGAAUGCAUCCAUCUCCUGACCCUGAAUCCCUUGAAGAGAGUGAAGCAAAGAGAGAACAAGACCCUGGGAGCUCAAUGAUGAUGACAGCAGUAAUAACAGCCAGCCUAUUCCAGCUUCACGGUGUGUUGGACCAAGUGCUUUUACAAUUAUCUCACUCAGUCCUUAACAACACCAGGGGAGAGAAACAAAGAGACUCUGAAAUGACAAGGAAAAAGUGGAGAGGGUGAGCUGGCAGAGACAUAUGCCUUUAUACCUAACCACCGUCUGAGGCUGCCUUGAAGACAGCAGAGGAGGAGGGGCUCAGUGACACUCAGUUUGUAUUAGGAGAAGAGUGGAAACAGGAAGCACAGUUAAGAGAUGAGUGUAAGAAUCCAAGUGACAGAUGGUGGUGGCUUGGAUCAGGACCUCAGCAGCGGAAUUGAUAGAAGUACAAAAGAGCAGAGCUUGGAUUUGACGUUGCUGUGGCUGUGGUGUAGGCUGGCAGCUGUAGCUCCGAUUCCACCCCUAGCCUGGGAACUUCCAUAUGUCAUGGAUGCCAUCCUAAAAAGACAAGGGAAAAAAAAGUACAAAAUAUCCCUGCACACAUUUUAUAUUCUUUUAUAGAGAAGCAAUUAAAAGCUCACGUAUUAACUUAGGAAAAAUCAUAUAUUUGUGUAAAUAAACCCAAACCAUUUGCAGUCCAAGCUGCAGGUGCUAUUAAUUAUUAUUACUGAGACUUUCUCCUGUAAAUACAUCAUUCUCUACAACACCGCCAAUAUUUAGGUACAUUCUGCUUCUUUUUUUUUUUUUUUUUUUUUUUUUG